ensembl:lincRNA
AUGCUUUGGUUUAUUGUUGGAGCCGUGAUUGUCAUAAUGGCCAUUUCAAAGGGUAUAGCAAGGAGAAAGAAGGACAAAGUGAAAGGUAGAGCACAGACCCAAAACGAAGACCGUGAGCGUUCACCAAAACACAGGAUGAAGAAGAAGAAAGAGGAAGGAAGUGAAAAUGACGUGGGCAUCAUGACUGUGCUUCUGUCGGCCGGCUUGGUAGAUAUAGAUCCCACGCUGUCCUCCAUGACCCUGGGGAUCCUCAGGAAGUACCGCGACCUGCGGUCAGGGUCCACAUGAGUUCAUCUGCCUUGUUUCUCAGAGCCCUGCCAUAAUACAAUGAGCGCUCUUAACGUUUAGGAAUAACACAACCGGCAAUAACAAACCACCAAACACUAAAUGGAUCAGGCACAAACACGUCUCCUAGCUUGAUCUUGGCAUCACGCAGGUCUGGAUGCAAAUACUUACAGUAUGAAAAACUCCUGGUGUUAAUUAUAUGGCUGCAAAAGUGCACAGGGAAUUUGACAAUUCCACUUUUUUAAUUGAGUGCUUUGUCUGUGCUGUGGAAAGGUUCUGAUGGAAAGGCUGGAUUCCUUGCAUCAUUGAACCCUGCUGUCUUCAGAUACAACAGUAUUUUAGCUACACAUUGAUGCUAAUUAUUAGCAUUUCAAUUUAAGCUAUUUGUGUUGUACCAACUUUAAAUGCUUAGACCUUUUUUGUUAUUUUAAAAUUGUUUUAUUGAUUAUUUGCACAUUUGUUUUUAACAGGUAUUAUUUUUGUAUUUUUAUUUUCUUUAUCUACUAAAGUAUGGUUUUUCAUUAAUUCAGAUCAGUUUCAUAUGCCAUUUUGCCAGGGGAAUUAACAUUAUGCAUUUCCUUACAUUUUUAGUUGUUUUUUGCUAUUAUAGUGUUAUUUUUUACUAUUUUUACCUAAAUAAAGUGCACUUCAUCUUAACAUUAUUACCUGCAUGGAACAGGUCUGAGCAGAGUCCUAUCAGACUGAGAUGAACAGUAUGGCAGUCAUGGUGUGUGAAACAGUGAGACUGUGAAAGAAUCUGUGUAGUGAAUCUGGCCAGAGAUCAUAGUAUUUCACAGUCACAUAUGACUGAAAACAAUUUAAAAUAAAAACAAACUCUUAAGCUUGAUUAUUCUUAAGGGAUCAAAGUGAAACAAUUGAUUGUGAUGAGGUGUGAAGUAUGUAUUUGUGUACAUGCUUGUGUAGGUGGGGUAGCACAAAUGUGUACUUAAGAAAGUUAAUGUUAAGACCAUUUUCCCUAACUUUUUUCUAAAUUUAGUGUGUAAGCCAAGUCUCCACCAGGGGGAGCCUCCACCUACACUCAAGCCAGCGUGUUCCACUACAGCAAUAAUCCAGACUAAAUUUAGAAUGUAGGAAAAGUCAAAUUAGCAAAGUUUAAUUUUAAACAUAUCCAUAGGAUACUCCUGGCUGUGCCUUGCAUACUACCAUGUUGAGCUGAUGGUGAUGCCAUUUAACAAAACAGUGCUGUCACAGUCAGAAAAGGACAUCUUUCAUGCAUCUUUAACAUUUCUAGUACCCUGUCAUCAAUGUAUAAUUGUAAAUAAAAGAAAAAAGAAAAUAAAAUUGUUUGGGCUGCUGCAAUCAUUAGUUACAUCAUUAAUAAAGACAAGGGAUUUACUUCUACAUGCGAUGGACUGGCAUCCUUUCCAGGUAUCCUGGCUUGUGGCCAUUCCUUCCCAGGACAGGCUCCAGUAUCCCAGUGACCCUGUA